AGCGUUCGAUCCUGGCGCAGGAUGACGCUGGCGGCAUGCUUAACACAUGCAAGUCGAACGGGAGUGUGUUUCCAGUGGCUACGGGUGAGUAACGCGUAAGACCCUCCCUUUGAGGGGAACAACCACUGGAAAGGUUGCUAAUACCCCGUAGGCUGGGAGCCAAAGGAGAAAUCCGCCCAGGAGGGGCUCGCGUCUGAUUAGCUAGUUGGUGAGGCAUAGCUUACCAAGGCGUGAGCCGUAGCUGUCCCGAGAGGAUUAUCAGCCCACACUGGUACUGAUACAACGGCCCAACUCCUACGGGAUGCAAGCAGUUGGAAUUUUUCCGAAUUGGCGAAGCCUGACGGAGCAUGCCCGGCGUGGAGGUGGAAAGGCGACGGGUCGUCACUUCUUUUCUCGGAGAAGAACAGGGUAUCUUAGAUCAGCAUCGGCUAACUCUGUCGCCAGCAGCCGCGGUAAGAAGAGAAUGCAAGCGUUAUCCGGAAUGAUUGGGCGUAAAGCGUCUGUAGGUGGCUUUCAAGUCCGCCUUCAAAUCCCCCAGGGCUCACCCUGGACAGGGCGGUGGAAACAACCAGCUGGAGUACGGUAGGGGCAGAGGGAAUUUCCGGUGGAGUCGGUGAAAUGCAUUGAGAUCGAAAGAACGCCAACGGGGGGCGAAAGCCUCUGCUGGCCGACCUGCACACUGAGAGACGAGCUAGGGGAGCAAUGGGCAUUAGAGACCCCAGUAUCCCCUAGCCGUAAACGAGGAAUACUAGGUGCUGUGGCGACUCGACCCGUGCAUUGCUGUAGCUAAAACGCGUAAGUAUCCCCGCCUGGGAGUACGUUCGCCAAGAAUGAACUCAAAGUAUUGACGGGGGCCCGCCACAACGUGGAGCUGGGGUUAUUCUGAUGCAAAGCGAAUAACCUUACCAGGGCUUGACAUGCCGCGAUCCCUCUUGAAAGAGAGGGGUGCCCUCGGGACCGCGGACACAGGUGUGCAAUGGCUGUCGUCAGCUCGUGCCGUAAGGUGUUGGGUUCAGUUCUCGCAACGAGCGCAACCCUCGGUGUUUGUUGCACUAUGAGUUUGGAACCUGACAGACCGCCGGUGUUAAGCCGGAGGAGGAAGAGGAAUGAUGCCAAUCAUCAUGCCCUUAUGCCCCUGGGCGACACACGGCUACAUGGGCGGGACAAAUGGUCGCGCUCCUCCGCGAGGGUAGCUACUCCAAAAACCCGUCCUCAGUUCGGAUUGCAGUCUGCCACUCGCCUGCAUGAAGCAAAGGAUCGCUAGUAAUCGCGGUCGCCAUACGGCGGUGACUCCGUUCCCGGGCCUUUGUACACACCGCCCGUCACACUAUAGGAGCUGCCAGGUUUGAAGUCAUAACACCACCCUUAAACCGUAAGGAGGGGGAUGCCUAAGCUAGGCUUUGCGACUGGAGAUGAAGGUCGUAACAGGUCGCCGUACUUGAAGGUGUCGGCUG
rnacentral:rRNA from 1 species